AAGGAGAUGAGGUCGUGGGGGAGGAAGGAGAAGAGGGCAUGAAAUUCAUGGGGGAAUAAGAAGAGGAGGCCAUGGAGGUCGUGGGAGAGAGGGCAGGAGGCCACGGGGGAGGAAGAAGAUGCCCCCUUGUUUCUGAAGUUGGUCUUCGCCUCAAAUGCGAUGGCUGCUCCCAGUUGUGAUUGGACAUUCCUGUUCAUUGGUUGCUACUCAUAUGAGAUUUUUUUUUCAUUUUCCCUACAGAUUGGUCCGAUUUGAGCGGAUUCUCUUCCUCUUGGUCGGUCCCCUGGAUGUGCCUCCCUUGAUCUCUGCCUGCACAUUCUUUAUAAGCACCCUCCUGCGUCUCCGUUCAUGGAUCGACAGAAGAGAAUUUUCUUCUUUGCCAAAGAUUAGCUAUUGUCGGAUAAUUUGCAUGUCAUGGUGGACAUCAGUUGUAAAUUGCAAAGGAGAGCUACUAAUCUUAUUAUAGGUGCAUGGGCACUUGCCGCUGCAGCCAGAGUUGCCACCAAAUCAGAUUAGAAGUUUUUCAAACAGAUUCCUAUAUUUUGAAGUGGUUAUGCUCAUCACAUAGCUGGGGUAGAUCAUGUCUUACUAUAUAAUGUAUUUCAUCGUGUCUCAAGCUUCUGUGCUUAAUGGUACUGGAGAUAUAUAAACAGGACAAAGUAUACAAGUUAGUAAUGGGCACUUCAGAUGUGAUGCCAUGUGAGGAAGCCUUGGUAUGAUACAAUAAGAGAUGGUAAUUUGAGGGAGGUCAGAAUCCAAAUUUGUAGCUACCUACCCAGAUUACUGCUAGCUUCAGUUGUAUUUCCUGGAUGUUCCCAAAAACAUAUGUGGAGAACUCUCUUCCAGUUCCACACUAUGCUUUGCUGGACUACCCAUUUAUGUUUCCCUUAGGUAUUCCAAACUUAGUCCGAUCACAUGGGCGAUGGCUGAUUGAUGGCCUCUGCUUGGUACUACACGAUAAGUUGGAACUACUGAUGCUCCAAUUGCAGCCAGGUAUUAGCUACUCUUGCCUACAUUUAUUCAGUGCACUAAUGUUUCUAAGGAAAAUAGGGACCUUUAUUGGUUAACUAUGUAAUCCAAAGAAAGAGACGCAAAACUAUCGCUAGCAAAAUGAUGCGUGAUUUGUUUUAUCCGGCAUGAGAUUUUUAUAUGAUAAUUCUUGAAACUGAGUUGAGUAGUUUGUCCUAUUCAUAGCGGGGCAGGGUUCAAAUCUCAAGCAUGUUUUUUUAUUUGCAAUGAAAUCUGUUUGAGUGCACUUUUUAUACAUUCCAGCUUCAAAUUACAUCUGCUCUAUAAGAAUGCAUUUUUUUCGUACUUCAAAUUCUAGCUUCACAUUAUGCAGUUCUUUUGCAUGAUGCAAACAUUGAGGGUAUUAUUGACACAUACACCAAUGCCAGUAAAAAUUAUCAGACAUGAGGGGAUAUUUGACAUUACUGUUCUUUGAUUCGUGCCUCUCGGCCAAAGGGGAUGAGAUGGGUUGUGCAUAGACUCGUGUUUUACAAUUUUCUUUACAUCCGUUCAUUACAUGGAGAUCUAGAAAUUUGGUUUGUGUGUAGAAUUGCUGUUUUAAAAUCUUUGAUUCGUGACUCUCGGACAAAUUUUGUUGAUGUUUUGUUAUAAAUUUUUGUUCCUCUGAUUUGUCUCCCGUUUCCUGCAAUUCGGUUCCUACACAAUCAGUUGCAUUCUUAUUAUGAAAUUAAUGUGUUGUAGUUUAUCAAUACCACCUGAAUUAGACCAUCUGAUUCAAGAUAGUAGCAUACUAGAAGAAAAGUACUUUCUGGGGAUCUAGAAAUGUUUCACUGGAUUAUGACUUGACCAGAGAUUCAGGGUACAAACACAAAUUGAAGAGAUUUUUCAAGAACUUGAUUAUGUUUACCAACUCAAGGAUGGUGAUUAUAUGGCUAUUUCUAUAAUGUCGCGCAGUUCAGCGUUCCUCUGGUCGCCCGCUUUAUGCCAUUGAUGUUUUCCUUUUCUAUAUCUAGAACUGCUGUUUCAAUUGGGUUUGUCAAGGUUUGACAUGCUUGUGGUGGUUAAUAUCUAGAAUUGUUUCAUGAACUAAUAUUAUUUUUAUCCAAACUUUAAGCCUUUUCUUAAUCCUCAUGUAAAAAGAUGGCCACGUCGGCGGCGCUAUGUGGCAACCAUAUCCGCAAGAACCGCACCCGCCGCAGGUAGGAACGCGCUACUGCACCUCGAGUCACACUAAACGGGGGUGCAACCCAUCAUGUAUAGCUUCAACUCUAUUCUCAUGGACACUUCUAUCAUAACAUUCAGAUACACUUUUCAGGCAUUACAAGGUCAUAUUUGCUCUUUGUAGUUCGAUCAUUAGUUUCAUUUAGUCUAUGAUUUAUCUCAUUGGCUUUUGGAUUAGUCCAGAUUAUACUCCUCCUUCCCUAAAUAUAAGUCUUUUUAGAUAUUUUAAUAAGGACUACACAUGGAUGUAUAUAGACAUAUUGUCAAAUGUAGAUUCACUCAUUUUGCUGCGUAUGUAGUCCCCAUUUGGAAUCUCAGAAAAGACUUAUAUUUCGGAAUGGAGGGAGUAUUAUUUUAGUUUGGUCAUUGAUUAAGAUUUUCGCUUCAGUAUUAAUUAAAUGAAUGGCUAGCUCUCUGCAUCGUGUGUCGUACUCUUGCAGUUUCAAAAUCUUUGACUCAUGGCUCCCGGCCAAAGGGGAUCAGAUGAGUUGUACAUGUCUAAUAUUUCAGAAGAAGUCUUGCCAUCAAUUAAGUGCUUCUCUUUGUCUUCAUAGUAUUUUCAGGUAGAGUACACAGAGGGCAGAAGUACAUUGACGGAAAUGAUGACACCCUUUCACUGAAGUUGACGGAAAUGAUGACACCCUUCCACUGAAGCUCGCAGACGGCACCGUGAACUGCGACAAUCGCUUCAUGUUUGAAACCGGCAAGAGGGCCACCAUCACGACGGAUUGAUCAUGGUUUCGUCACCAUGCUAACAUCCAGGAGGGCGACAUCUGCGCCUUCCAUUUCAAGCGCAAGGAAAGGCAUAAGGUCAUCACAUCGUCUCUCCCUCACCGUCCAUCGCAUCGUCUGUAGGCAUAAGGUCAUCAGCAGGAUAUGUAUGAACCGUCUAUCGUCUUUAGCUUAUCUCAAUGCUGUGCUCUAUCAUUCACCUUGUAAUACUCUGCCCUAUCUUAUAAUAUGCACCUACUACCUCUUAUAUGUAUGAUGAUCGAACACUUUUCUCCUAA